GGGAUUUAAGAUACCCUGGUAGUCCACGCCGUAAACGAUGUCGAUUUGGAGGUUGUGCCCUUGAGGCGUGGCUUCCGGAGCUAACGCGUUAAAUCGACCGCCUGGGGAGUACGGCCGCAAGGUUAAAACUCAAAUGAAUUGACGGGGGCCCGCACAAGCGGUGGAGCAUGUGGUUUAAUUCGAUGCAACGCGAAGAACCUUACCUGGUCUUGACAUCCACAGAACUUNNCAGAGAUGNNUUGGUGCCUUCGGGAACUGUGAGACAGGUGCUGCAUGGCUGUCGUCAGCUCGUGUUGUGAAAUGUUGGGUUAAGUCCCGCAACGAGCGCAACCCUUAUCCUUUGUUGCCAGCGGUUNGGCCGGGAACUCAAAGGAGACUGCCAGUGAUAAACUGGAGGAAGGUGGGGAUGACGUCAAGUCAUCAUGGCCCUUACGACCAGGGCUACACACGUGCUACAAUGGCGCAUACAAAGAGAAGCGACCUCGCGAGAGCAAGCGGACCUCAUAAAGUGCGUCGUAGUCCGGAUUGGAGUCUGCAACUCGACUCCAUGAAGUCGGAAUCGCUAGUAAUCGUAGAUCAGAAUGCUACGGUGAAUACGUUCCCGGGCCUUGUACACACCGCCCGUCACACCAUGGGAGUGGGUUGCAAAAGAAGUAGGUAGCUUAACCUUCGGGAGGGCGCUUACCACUUUGUGAUUCAUGACUGGGGUGAAGUCGUACAAAGGGGUNANCNA
rnacentral:rRNA from 1 species